UACGGGGGGGGCAAGCGUUGUUCGGAAUUACUGGGCGUAAAGGGCUCGUAGGCGGCCAACUAAGUCGGAUGUGAAAUCCCCAGGCUUAACCUGGGAACUGCAUCCGAUACUGGAUGGCUUGAGAUUGGGAGAGGGAUGCGGAAUUCCAGGUGUAGCGGUGAAAUGCGUAGAUAUCUGGAGGAACACCGGUGGCGAAGGCGGCAUCCUGGACCAACACUGACGCUGAGUGAGCGAAAGCCAGGGGAGCAAACGGG
rnacentral:rRNA from 1 species